UCUCUAGUAGCUCAAUUGGUUAGAGCGUGUGGCUGUUAACCACAAGGUUGUUGGUUCAAGUCCGACCUAGGGAG
rnacentral:tRNA from 1 species